UACGGAGGGUGCAAGCGUUAUCCGGAUUCACUGGGUUUAAAGGGUGCGUAGGUGGGAAUGUAAGUCAGUGGUGAAAUCUCCGUGCUUAACAUGGAACUGCCAUUGAUACUAUGUUUCUUGAAUUUUCUGGAGGUCAGCGGAAUAUGUCAUGUAGCGGUGAAAUGCUUAGAGUAUGACAUAGAACACCAAUUGCGAAGGCAUGCUGGCGUACA
rnacentral:rRNA from 1 species